AUUGAACGCUGGCGGCAGGCCUAACACAUGCAAGUCGAACGGUAACAGGAAGAAGCUUGCUUCUUUGCUGACGAGUGGCGGACGGGUGAGUAAUGUCUGGGAAACUGCCUGAUGGAGGGGGAUAACUACUGGAAACGGUAGCUAAUACCGCAUAACGUCGCAAGACCAAAGAGGGGGACCUUCGGGCCUCUUGCCAUCGGAUGUGCCCAGAUGGGAUUAGCUAGUAGGUGGGGUAACGGCUCACCUAGGCGACGAUCCCUAGCUGGUCUGAGAGGAUGACCAGCCACACUGGAACUGAGACACGGUCCACACUCCUACGGGAGGCAGCAGUGGGGAAUAUUGCACAAUGGGCGCAAGCCUGAUGCAGCCAUGCCGCGUGUAUGAAGAAGGCCUUCGGGUUGUAAAGUACUUUCAGCGGGGAGGAAGGGAGUAAAGUUAAUACCUUUGCUCAUUGACGUUACCCGCAGAAGAAGCACCGGCUAACUCCGUG
rnacentral:rRNA from 1 species